rnacentral:rRNA from 1 species
AAUCUUCCGCAAUGGACGAAAGUCUGACGGAGCGAUGCCGCGUGAGUGAUGAAGGUCUUCGGAUCGGAAAACUCUGUUGUUAGGGAAGAACAAGUAUCGGAGUAAUAUGCCGGUACCUUGACGGUACCUAACCAAAAAGCCCCGGCCAACUACGUCCCAGACGCCGCGGUAAUACGUAGGGGGCAAGCGUUGUCCGGAAUUAUUGGGCGUAAAGCGCGCGCAGGCGGUUUGUUAAGUCUGAUGUGAAAGCCCACGGCUCAAACGUGGAGGGUCAUUGGAAACUGGGAAGCUGAGUGCAGAAGAGGAGAGUGGAAUUCCAUGUGUAGCGGUGAAAUGCGUAGAGAUAUGGAGGAACACCAGUGGCGAAGGCGACUCUCAGGUCUGCAACUGACGCUGAGGCGCGAAAGCGUGGGGAGCGAACA